rnacentral:misc_RNA from 1 species
AAUGUACGUUGUCUUACUUAACUAUAAUUGAUUAGGUUAUGUAAUUGCGUUACCAAAUAAGGUAAUCAAAUAUGAAAUAAUAUGAAAUGUAAUCUGAUUACAUUGCAACUUUGAUGGCCUAAAUUCAUCAAUAAAUGACUACGUGAAGGGUAAAAAUGUCCAAUAAAGCAUCAUUCCUUCAACAAAUUUCGAGAAUAUGGAAACACAACAAAGAAUUAAAAAUGAAAAAAAGCCUUCUUAAUAUCAAAUUCAAGAAGAGGGGAAAGACGAAAAUAUCUAAUUUGCAACUCUACACAUUACACUGCCAAAAAAAAAUGGUGAACCAGAUACGACUUGAAGGAAACAGAUUGAAUUAUGGCAAUAAACAUCAAAGUAAUGAAUAAUUAUAUAUAAGAGCUAAAAAGAAUCUACCCAAAAGGGAAACCAAUAGCAAAGAAAGCAAGAAAAAAUCCCCCAAAUCAUAACAAAAUUUAACAUUUAAUAGCAAAGGGGAGGGAUAAGAGAAAAAGCUUUAUACCAAAAUCUAUACAGUUAAUCAUA